rnacentral:lncRNA from 1 species
CGUUUCCACAGCCGCUGUGCACCGUGGCUCUGUUGAUGAUGCACAAGCGGCCAUCUUGGAAGUUUUGGUACCCGAUGUCAUCACAACUAGCCAGACUGCUGCCUAAAUUCACCAGAAUUAGUAGUGUAGCCUGAUGUCAAGCUAGUG